rnacentral:lncRNA from 1 species
UAGACAAGUCAGGCUCGUGGGAAGCUGGAAACUGGAGGCAAUGAUGCGGGACCUCCAUCGUAGCAAAACCACCUUUUUGUUGAGCAAGUGUUUAAGCCUUUCCUCGCAUUUUAAUGCCGGUUCCAGGCUCCCAGACUCUGAUGGCUGAUGCUGCGUGCAUAUUUAAUGGCAAUCUAUUUUCUCAAUGACUGCAUUUCUUUGUGGACAGCAACCAAAAUGAACCCUGAUGAACAGUAAAGUUUGGAGAAGUUGUAAACUUUGUUAUCUCCCAUGCAUGAGACACGCCGUGCAUGGAUCAGCCGCUCGCUUUAGAUGGAGAUUCGGAUAGAUGCACAUCUCUUCUAGUUGUAUUUCAGCCAGUCAUAUGUCCUACUCCCACUCCUAAGGCUGUGUUCGGUUGGCAUGGUUUUGAAGGGGUUUGGCAGGGAUUAAAUCCCAUACAAGUCAAAUCCCUGCCAAAACCACUCCAAUCCCCUUGAGACAGGGUGUAACCGAACAAAGCCUAAAGUAGCAUGUGCUUAACUGAUACUCAUGGUCCAUGCACCCACUCCUUGCCACAUUGCACACUCAUGUUUUUUCAAAGUUUGAAAUCAAAAGCCUGAUUUAGUAUCAGGCACUCAGUAAACAAGCCAUUUGAUGGAAAAAACUUUGGUCUAGGAAUUAUCUAUAAGGGUGUGUUUGGUAGCCUGCGUGUAGGGUGCAUGAGGCUAAAAGUUCCCUACCCAACCCACUUUCAGGUGUUUGGCAGGGUGUAUGGGCUCUUCUGGGCAUAGCCCGUCUGAUGCAAAAAAGGCCCCGAGCUAUGCUCGCUGGAGCACCCACGUACAUGCUAGCUGGGCUCAGCGAGGCUCGGUUCGACCCCCGCAAAAAUCUCCUCCCGACCCACUACGCUCACCCCACCCCUCUCGCUGACCUAGCCGCCACCCCUCGCCCCCAUCUCUCUCCCGCGAGGCCGCGAACAACCAUGGCGACUGGCGCCUGAUCUACAUCCCCGCCGGCCCCCUGUUCUUCUACCUCGCCGCCAUAACCGCCGCCCCGGUCUACCUCACCGCCGCCCCGGUCUACCUCGCCACUGCGCCGGUCUACCUCGCCACGGCCCUGCUCUUCAAAGCGCGGCCGCCGCACGUGGAUCUCGCCGCCGCCAGGCCUAGGCCACCGUCGCCGCCGGAGAGGUAGACCUCCGCCCUCACCCCUUCCUUCCUGCCUCGUUCCCCUCCUCCCUCCUCACCCCUUCCUUCUUGCCUCGUUCCCCUCCGCCCUCCUCACCCCUUCCUUCCUGCCUUGGGCUCACAGGGAGUAGCCGCUGCUACGUGACCAGAAACUGCUCCUCUGUUCCCUUAUGAUUAUCAUGUAUAGGUGGUCAAAAUGAUUACAGUAGAUGUAUAACUUAUGAUUGUUGUACCUAUUAUGCUCAUAUUUUAGUUUGUUCAGUGCUUGUCAUGCUGGAAAAAAAUCUGUUGUGCUAAGUAUCAAUUUGUUUGUAUUGUCAUAGAUGGAUGAAUUGGCAAGAAAACGAAGGCAAUUAAUUGUGAGAGGAGCCGGUCUAGUGGCUGGAUUGUAUGCAUACAAGAUGAUCAUGUUUAGAAGAGCUAGGCAACAAACAGCGAGGAUAACCGUGGGCAGCAUGGCCGAUCGUGCCAUAUCUAGAGAGUCCAAUUUGAGAUAUAUUUAUCACUCUAGUGAUAUAAAUUGUUCAAAUCAAUUAAGAAUGAGAAAAGCUCCUUUUUUCCGUUUGUGUGCUAUAUUUAGAGAGAGAAAUCUGUUGUUGGAUAGCAUCCAUACUUCUAUCGAGGAACAAGUAGCCAUGUUUCUUCUAGUAGUUGGCCAUAACCAAAGGUAUAGGACACUUCAACCGAUCUUUAGAAGAUCUACCGAAGUCAUUAGUAGGUAUUUUAAGGCAGUGCUUUAUGCUAUUGGGGAGUUGAGAGAUGAGAUGAUUCGGCCUCCCUCCAACCAUUGUCAUCGUAAAAUACAAGAAAGCACUCGCUUCAAUCCAUAUUUCAAGGUAAUUAUUUUUGCAAACAAAUGCAAACAAUCAAUCCGACUUAAGAAUAACAAUCAUUUGCCUUUUUUUAAUUAGGAUUGUGUUGGAGCAAUUGAUGGGACUCAUGUGCUUGCUAGAGUCCCAAAAAGUAUCUCAGCUGCCUUUAGGGGUAGAAAGGUGGGGACUACCCAAAAUGUCAUGGCUGCGGUAGACUUUGAUCUAAAGUUUACCUAUGUACUUGCGGGUUGGGAGGGAUCAGCUCAUGAUGCCCUUAUACUUGCAAAUGCAUUGGAGAGGGAAGAUGGGUUGAAAGUUCCUACAGGUAAUAAACUAGGGCCUACUACCUAAAUAUAUUAAUAUUUUUACCCAUAGCUAAUAGUUGCUAUUUCAUAGGAAAAUUCUUCCUUGUUGAUGUGGGGUAUGCUGUGAGGCCGGGUUUUCUUCCACCAUACCGUGGCACGAGGUACCACUUGAAAGAGUAUGGACGAGGGAACCAUCCUCAAAAUGCUAAAGAGUUGUUCAACUUAAGACACUCUUCUUUGAGGACAACGGUUGAAAGGGCUUUUGCCGCAUACAAAAACCGUUGGAAGUUUGUCUACAAUAAGCCGUUCCAUGGUUACAAGACCCAAGUAAAAGUAGUGCUAGCUUGUGCAAUUCUUCACAAUUGGGUACUUCAAUAUGGUGAGGAUGAGUAUUUCCCACCUGAGGAAACAUGGGAGCCGGAACCCAAUGAUGAAGAUCACAAUGAUAUUGUCCAUGACAAUAUUUCUUGGGCUCAUAAGAGAGAUGAAUUUGCAAAUCAGAUGUGGGCGAAUAGAGGGCUAGCAAACAUUUGAUGUAUCAUGUGUCUUGGUGUUGUAAAACUAUUGCUGUACUAUUAUAUUUAUGUGCUGAAACAUGAUUUUGAUGGGCUGAAAUAUGCUUAUUUAUGUGCUGAAAUGUGUUUUUGUGUCCUGGAAUUCAUAUUUAUGAGCUGAAACAUGAUUGUGAGCUGCUGAAAUAUGAUUUUUAUGUGCUGAAACAUGUUUUUGUGUGCUGGACUUCAUGUUUAUGAGCUGAAACAUAAUUUUGAGCUGCUGAAUUAUGCUUAUUUAUGUGCUGAAAUAUGUUAUUAACUUCUGGAUUGUCUAUGUUGUAGAUGGAUGAUGAGGUGCAGGAGGUUCCAAGUGUUGGUGCUCUUCCCAAGAAGGCCCCCAAGGUCAUGAAUUGGACUCCUCCUAUGUCGGCGUUGAUGUUGAAAGGCCUUUCAGAGGUGGCGUCAAGAGGUGCCAAGACUGACAAAGGAUUCAAAGAGGUUGAAAAAUUGAAAGUUGCAAAGCGUAUAUCUUCUUUCGUUGGUUAUGACGUGUCUAUUACGCAAGUGCACAAUCAUAUUCGCAAGUGGAGGAAUAGGUGGACAAGGCUUGUUUAUUUGAAGGCUUUAAGUGGGGCACUUUGGGAUGAUGACAAGAAGAUGGUAGUGCUAGAAGAACAACACUAUUUGGGCCACACUCAGGUAUGCAUGUCCAUGUACCAGCCUUUUUUGAAUGCUGAAAUGAGUUAUCUUAGUGCUCAAAGAGUGUUAAAAUGAUACAGUUUUGCCAAAAAUAAUGAUGUUUCAUAGCUGAAAUGAUGUCUUAGUUAAUUAUUUUUGUUCAAAUGGUGUUGCAGGAUCAUCCAGCAGAUGCUGAAUUGCUCAAUUCUCCACUAGAGAACUACGACUAUAUGGAACUUUGCUUUGCUAAUAAGCAUGCCACUGGGAAAUAUGCAAUGGGCCCCGGUGUGCCCCUGGGAACGCCUAUUGUUGUGGAAGACAAGGAUAAACCGAAUGUCAUGGAGGGGGAAGGAACAACGGAUGAGGUAUUGCAACAUCUUCCUGGAUCUAACUUUGUACUUCCUACUGCUAGUGCCACUCAGGACCCUUCUCCUACUUCAAAUAAGAAGAGAAAGAGGGCAUCUGGCUUGACAGAGGAGGACUCAAUCCAGUGUAGCAACAUGACUGAUGCUAUGCGUGAGAUUGCAAGUGCUAUCAACAACACUUGCCAUGCUGAAACACACCCCGACUUGUACAAGGCUGUCAUGGACCUUCUUGUGUUUAAUCAAGAUGAGCGCUUGGCUGUUUUAGAUUAUCUCACAGAACAUAAGGCAAAAGGCCUAAACUUUGUGAAGAUGGAUGAUGAAGUCCGAAAAGCAUCGUUCAAGCGAAUCUUGAAAGCCAAUCCCGGUCUUGUUUGAGUUGUUGUUAGUUGGUGCUUGAUGAGACAGUCCCUUUUGUAAUGCCUAUUAUAAAGUGUACUUCAAAUUAGACUAUGUAAUAUGAAUCUAGUGAUGCACUGCUACGAAUUAUGGUUAUUAUUCUUAUGUAAUAUGAAUCUAGUGAUGCAUUGCUUCAAAUCAAGGUUAUCAUGUGUUAUGUUAAUUGUUGAUUAUUUUAUUUAUAUUAUCAUUGUUCAAAUUAUGUUGGCAUGGUAACAUUUUAUUGCUCGAAUUGUUCCAUGAAUUGUCGAAAUGUUGUUUCAAUAUUUGUCUUGGCGGCAAAAAAAUCAUUCAUGGAGCAUACCUCAGAUACAGGCUACCAAACACAGUCUCUGUGCAACAUGUCUCGUCUGAUGCAGCCUACCAAACACAGUCUCAGCUCAGCAUGCAUUAGUACAUACAUUGCUACCAAACAACUGCAGUUGCAUGUACUGAGCAUGUCUAGACUAAGCAUGGCUCAAAUGGGAACAACUAUGCUAGGGUGGGAACAGCUACCAAACACACCCUAAAUGGACUUUGCUGCACGAACGCUCCACUCAUGCAUGGGGUGAUAUAUGGAGAAACAAUUCCUUAUUUAACAUUAUCUUAAAUUUCGUUUCCUUAUUUGACACUAAAUACCUUUUUCUUUCAUAUCUAACAACGAGUCUAAAUUUUAUGCUUUUUAUAACACUUUCGUCCAUUUUAAGACUAAAUAACACCUGAAAAGACCCUUUUGCUCCUCAUAUAAUAUGUGUGUGGAGGGCAGUGGCACACACACGCAACAUCAGUGUGAGGCCAGUAGCACACACAUAGCAACACAUAAAGACGCAGCAACCACACGCACGCACACACAGCAGCACACACGCACGCAACACACUCACAGGCAGCAGCACACACACACACGUAGCACACACGCAGCAGCAGCACAUACCUAGCAGCAGCUCACAGCACACAAGCAUGCAAACAUCACACACACACGUACAUACGCAUGCACUAGCAAACACACACACACCAGCACACGCACACAAACAUCACACACACACGUACAUACGCAUGCACUAGCAAACACACACACACACCAGCACACGCACACAAACACACACACACGGCACACAGCAGUAGCAUGGGUAUGCGUACACACGCGCGCAACAUCACACAUGGCGUGCUUGGUUGCCGUAGUCUACAGUAGCUGCAUUGCACAGCCUUCUCAACUCAGCCUGACUAUACAAAUGCAGUCUCAAAUGCACCAUCUGCAUAUUAUUUAGUUGCCUGCAUGCCCUCUUGUCUGCAUGGGCUGAACCACACUGCUUGGUAUUUUGUUGUCUGCAUGUUAGUGGACAAAUCCAAGGUAUGGUGUUUGGUUGUAUGCAACGCCUGGUGUGUGGUAAUCUCUUUGGCUAGUUGGUGAGGUUACCAGCACACUUCGGCACAACAAUGUAGCAAUCAUAAACAGAGCAAAGUAUAAACAGAGGAUCAACUACUUAAGAGCAUAUUUCAGAUAAGCAGUACCACAUUUCAUAACAGUUCAAUGCAUAAACCACAAACAUAAAUAGUUCAAAGCAGACUCAAUAGUAGUACUUAGGAAGAGGUGCCCCGGCUCUAGUCCUUGGCGGCGAAGGUUUCGCCGUGCUUCCCGUACUUGUUGACGACCUCAAUGCCAUCGUCGUCGAAGAUGAUGACCUUGAGGUGUCGGGAGUGAGGAGCUUGAAUGCCACCAUGUAGCCGAUCUUGAUCUGAUGAACGGCUGCGUAGGUGGCCCAACCCUGAUCCAGGGUCACCCUGCCGUUCAUCAGCUUCACCGCCAACUUUCAGGAGCAGCCGAUGUUGUUCCUGAAUUUGAACUCCGCCGGCACCACAACAAAGUGCUUGGUGAAGUCCAGGGGCAUGAGGAUGCACUCAAACUUCAGUGCAAGGAUGACCUUGAAAAAAUGAGUUGAGCCAUCCUCCAUCCUCCUAAUGGUAGUCACCCCGUGUCCCGCUCCUCCUUGCUAGCCGUCGCUACUGCUAGGGCUCGUCGUCGCCAGUUCGUGUCGACCCGUGGAGGCAUGGACUGAAUCGAAUAAACGAAGGAACGUCCAGAUCGAGCGUCGUGGACGGGAGGUCGUGGUGGUGCUUAACUUGCAUAUGGCCCAAUAGUAUACCUGACUUCCAUAAGGACCAAUAACGCGAGAACAGGAUCGAUGGCUGAGGAACACCCAAUACGUGGUUUUAUUUUCGGUGGAUUUUUUUAGCGAACGAUUUAUACAUAGUACGGUGAAAAAAUCGCUGGAAAUCAAGGUAAGGCGAGCGCCCAACCUCCUACCGAGAGCUCCGCCUGUGACAUUACACACACGCGCGCAUAGAAACAUACCAUAUGAGGGCAAAAUAAUUUUUUCAUGUGUCAUUUAGGUUUGAAAUGGACAAAAGUGUUAUAAAAGGCAUAAAAAUUUAAACUCGUUGUUAGAUAAGGAAAACAUUAUUUGUCGAUGUCAAAUAGGGCAUAAAAUUUAGAUACGGUGUUAAAUAAGGAAUUGGAACAUAAAUGUAACGAAUACAAAAUAUGUCACUCAACCACAAAGUAAUAUAUAGAAUUGACAUUCCAUAAAUAUUUCACACUAAAGGAAAAACUAUAUCAUCUCACAUCAUGUGGACUGAAACGGCCCCCCAUAGAAGAAUCGCCCAUCGACAACGGGAGUGGCUCAGUAGAUAUUCGAGUUAGUAAUGACAGUGGGUGAGUCUUGCGUCAACGGCGAGGCUUGGCCAUUCUGAUCGAAGAUUUGGAUAUUGCUCAUGAGCGCGGACGCAAUCGCAUCACCCUGGGAAGGUAGCCACUGCCCAUCGGAACUAAAUUCGUCGUGUGGGUCUGCACGUAUCCACCAAAACGGAUAGACGGCGCUUGGUUCGCCAUCCCUCUGGUAAAUAACGACUUGGGGAAAGACCCAAUAAAUGCAGGGUCAUCCUGAUUGAGCCCGUAAUACGCCAGCCAGUCUCCCAUUACGCCGUCCUGUAAUUUAGGGGAUAGUUAGGUUCCAACGAUGCAUAGAGUUGAAUGAAAUACGUCUGUUAACAUUUAGCAAAACCACUAAUACGAAACUUGCAAAGCGUGCCCAGCAAAUUGGCACAACUUAACAUGCAAAAGUACAGUUUUCAUGACAUGUUUUGAUACAUAUCACCCAUGUUGAAAAAGCUAAUUGACACGACUUAACAUGCAAAAGUACAGCUUUCAUGACAUGUUUUCAUACAUAUCCCAGAUGUCGGGAAAAACACAUAACAUGCAUGUUUUUUUUAUCAUAUAUCAUAUCUAUUCAAUACAAUCACACAAAUUUUUUAAACCAGUGCACAUCAAUGAUCAUAUAAUUUCAUGUUAAUUUAAAAUUUGGUAAAAAAGAACCAAAUAACAUGCAGAUAGAGCAAAGAUGUGUACUUUUAGUAACAAAAUUACAUGUAAAAAAACCAAGUAAUUAUACUUAUACAAAUUAAGCAUAAUAUGAAAUAUUAAUUGCCCACCAUUGAUGAGAAAUUAUGAGAUGGAUUAGAUCAACACUGCCCACAUAGACUGCUUUUAUAUUAGCUUCGUAGAUACAGAGAUACAUGUCUAGCUAAGAAAGUGAGAUUUCGGGUGUGGACGGAUGCAUCUUAUUAUAUGAUUGGAAUCUAAGAUGAAUUUCACAUUAUGUUUUCAGGAAUUUUUUUUGUAUAAUUUUACAUAAAUUAGUAAACAUCUCGGGAUGAAACCACAUGCCAAUAUUGGGUGGAGGUGUGUACCUUAAAAAUUAUAAUAGUGAUGGUUUGUUUGAGUCCCUUGGGUUGGGAAACUGUCUCAAUUACACCUCCGAGCGUCAUGGGUGCACCCUCUGCCGGCCGAAAAUCGCACUGGGCAUUGGGGCAACCAGUUUCUUGUAACCCAUCAUUCUACAUCAACAGUAAAGAAGAAGAAGAACAACAACACGUGUUAGUCCAUAGAAGGAUAGUUAAUUAAGUCAUGCAUCUUGUGGAUCCCAAAGCAGCCUACAAUCUUAUAUGUAGAUUAAAAAGAAACGAAGGGAGUAUUAUAGACUCACCGUCCAUAGGCCAGCUAAACGGGUGCGCGAAUCGCCGUACAUCUUGGGUGAAACCUAGAAGAACGACAAUGAUCGAGGAAGCAAUGUAAGCCAUCUGUAUAUCACAUCUCUCCAUGCAUUUGGCGCUGGCAUGCAUGUUGAUAUCACACACACUUACCUCCCAGCCGAUCUGGAUUGUACUGUAGCUGCUCGGCUCACCGUCUCCUACGUCGAAGAGGAUGAUCGAGCCCACAGUGUACUGCUCGAUGCCGAGGUUGAAGUUGUACACGUCCAUCGUCGCCAUGAUCCCGUAGUAACCCUGAUCGGAUGCUGCUGUCUGGUGCGCAGCAACCUAAGUGACGACACAGCACAAAGUCAAGUUUUUUGUGUUCAUCAAGAGUAUUAGCGAUGGUUUUGGAAUAUAUCUCAAAUCAAGAGUAUAUGCUAGUCUCCCGGCAAAAAAGUAAAAAUAAACAUAAACAUACUUACGUAUUCUGUUUGAAAACCAGAUUCAGUAUCGAGUGGUGAAACUUGACCGAGCGACCAUCUUCGGGGGAACAUCCUCGUUUCGUUCCUCCACUUUUGGAGGUUUACCUGAUCAACAAUGAACGUGCAAAUUAUCAAACUUAUUUGUAAUUUAGAAAUUUGAUUAACACGAUCGAUUAUGAGUAUACAUACCUGUUGAUUAGUUGGGUAGAGACGGGCAGCAUUGGUUCCAGUGCCGGCCAAAAGCACCAUCCACACGGUGAGACGAAGAAGAUCAACCAUCGCCUCGGCCGGUCUGAUUGCACGCUCUUAAUCUCGAGACAAAAGAACGUAAGCCAACUUAGUCGAUCGGCAAGACAUGCAGACGCCACGCGAGCCUAUAUAGACGCCGGUUUCCUCGUGAUAAAUUUGGAAGCUCUUUUCCACGAUUUAUUCUUUUGGGAAAUCUUCCCCUCAAGUUUGUUGUUUCCAUAUUUGGUGUCAGAUUGAUUCCUCUAUACUUGCGGCGGGCACUGAGGUUUCCACAUCUCCUUUGAGGUUUCCAUUUUUCGCGUAAGAUUGAUUCAUCUUUACUUGCCUUGUGAGUUUUUUCUGCCAUGUCGCACUCCCAUUUGUGCGCCUCUUGUUUUUUUUUUAGUACAUGAGUACAUUUGUGUGCCUCUUGUUGAGUCUUUUUUAACACAAUAUUGACGCAGACGCUCAUACAUAACUCAUCCCUAUAAACGCACGCACAUCCUAUACUUAUAAGCAACUCCGAGUGACUGAGAAAACACAUCAUUUUGAGAUUGAUGAAGUUGCCACACAUGCCUUCGUAGUCGAUGGAAACAUCCCCUCUCACUGAAUGUACAUCUCAGGAAGGCCUGAAAUAAAUCACGAAAAAUACAUCCAUCAAUGCCAAAUUUAGGACUUGAACCCUGGGUUAGUUCCACCACAAGCAAUGUAACCAUAUGAGCUACGCUCAGCUCAACAAGAGGAGUGUGCCUCUUGUUGAUUCGACAAGCCAUUUUAGCUUCCUUGCAGCUCCGGGUACAAACCAGUUUUUUUUUGCGAAAAAGGCCUAAGGUCCUAGGAGUAUAUUAAAUUUUUCAUGUCCUUUCCCGCAAAAAAAUAAAAAUAAACAUUCACAUGUCCUUAGAAACAUACUCAUACACAAAAAUAAAAUUACAUUCAAGUAAUUGGGGAUGCUGCAGUCUUCUUUCUUCUGCAUCCACCAUUUGCAUGUCAUGAGCAUAGUUCGAUGCCGCCUCUAGGCCUUCGCCUAGGUGGAGCAAACUUUUUCAAACCCAUGAGCUUGUAAAAGUAACGGCAGGAAAGUCGUCGAUGCAGAUCAGGCGACACCGACGGCCAUGGUCUACAAAGACCAUGAACGUUGGUUGUAUCCUCACAGAUUCAACUGAAAACUUAAACCGACCAGAUCCCAGAAAGUUGGAGACACAUCUCCACAUGCCUUCUGCCGGCGAUAAGCAUACCAAUAGAACACAAAAAAGCAAAGAGAACAUUAUUCCUACAAGGAACAGGGCCGCCGCCUCACCGCUUCAAACCAAACUCCAAGACUCCCUAAAGAAAACAAAAAAAAAA